UUCCCGGCGGUCUAGUGGUUAGGACUCGGCACUUUCACUGCCGAGGGCCCAGGUUCAAUCCUUGGUCAGGAAA
rnacentral:tRNA from 1 species